rnacentral:tRNA from 1 species
GCCGGGAUGGCGGAAUUGGCAGACGCGCCAGAUUCAGGUUCUGGUGGGCGCAGGCUCGUGCAGGUUCAAGUCCUGUUCCCGGCACCA